rnacentral:rRNA from 1 species
AACGAACGCUGGCGGCAGGCUUAACACAUGCAAGUCGAACGAGAUCUUCGGAUCUAGUGGCAGACGGGUGAGGAACACGUGGGAACAUCCCUUUCAGUUCGGAAUAACGUUGGGAAACUAACGCUAAUACCGGAUACGUCCUUCGGGAGAAAGAUUUAUCGCUGAAAGAUCGGCCCGCGUCUGAUUAGCUAGUUGGUGAGGUAAUGGCUCACCAAGGCUACGAUCAGUAGCUGAUCUGAGAGGAUGAUCAGCCACAUUGGGACUGAUACACGGCCCAAACUCCUACGGGAGGCAGCAGUGGGGAAUAUUGGACAAUGGGCGCAAGCCUGAUCCAGCCAUGCCGCGUGAGUGAUGACGGCCUUCGGGUUGUAAAGCUCUUUUGUCCGGGAAGAUAAUGACUGUACCGGAAGAAUAAGCCCCGGCAAACUUCGUGCCAGCCGCCGCGGUAA